rnacentral:rRNA from 1 species
CAGUAGCCACGGGAACACGAAGGGUGCAAGCGUUACUCGGAAUUACUGGGCGUAAAGCGUGCGUAGGUGGUGGUUUAAGUCCGUUGUGAAAGCCCUGGGCUCAACCUGGGAAUUGCAGUGGAUACUGGGUCACUAGAGUGUGGUAGAGGAUAGUGGAAUUUCCGGUGUAGCAGUGAAAUGCGUAGAGAUCGGAAGGAACAUCUGUGGCGAAGGCGACUAUCUGGGCCAACACUGACACUGAGGCACGAAAGCGUGGGGAGCAAACAGGAUUAGAUACCCCUGUAGUCCCUGUCUCUUAUAC